rnacentral:rRNA from 1 species
GACGAACGCUGGCGGCAUGCCUAACACAUGCAAGUCGAACGAGAUCCUUCGGGGUCUAGUGGCGCACGGGUGCGUAACGCGUGGGAAUCUGCCCUUAGGUACGGAAUAACUCAGGGAAACUUGUGCUAAUACCGUAUGAUGUCUUCGGACCAAAGAUUUAUCGCCUAGGGAUGAGCCCGCGUAGGAUUAGCUAGUUGGUGGGGUAAAGGCGCACCAAGCCGACGAUCUUUAGCUGGUCUGAGAGGAUGAUCAGCCACACUGGGACUGAGACACGGCCCAGACUCCUACGGGAGGCAGCAGUGGGGAAUAUUGGACAAUGGGCGAAAGCCUGAUCCAGCAAUGCCGCGUGAGUGAUGAAGGCCUUAGGGUUGUAAAGCUCUUUUACCCGGGAUGAUAAUGACAGUACCGGGAGAAUAAGCUCCGGCUAACUCCGUGCCAGCCGCCGCCGUAAC